rnacentral:rRNA from 1 species
GACAGAGGGUGCAAACGUUGUUCGGAAUUACUGGGCGUAAAGCGUGCGCAGGCGGUUGUGCAAGACAGGUGUGAAAUCCCCGGGCUUAACCUGGGAACUGCACUUGUGACUGCACAGCUGGAGUACGGCAGAGGGGGAUGGAAUUCCGCGUGUAGCAGUGAAAUGCGUAGAUAUGCGGAGGAACACCGAUGGCGAAGGCAGUCCCCUGGGCCUGUACUGACGCUCAUGCACGAAAGCGUGGGGAGCAAGCAGG